rnacentral:tRNA from 1 species
UCUAAAAUGGCAGAAUAGUGUAAUGAAUUUAAAAUUCAUAAAUGAAAUUAAUUUCUUUUAGAA